rnacentral:rRNA from 1 species
UUGUUCCUACGGGGGGCAGCAGUCGGGAAUAUUGCGCAAUGGAGGAAACUCUGACGCAGUGACGCCGCGUAUAGGAAGAAGGUUUUCGGAUUGUAAACUAUUGUCGUUAGGGAAGAUAAAAGACUGUACCUAAGGAGGAAGCCCCGGCUAACUACGUGCCAGCAGCCGCGGUAAUACGUAUGGUGCAAGCGUUAUCCGGAUUUACUGGGUGUAAAGGGAGCGCAGGCGGCACGGCAAGCCUGAUGUGAAAGCCCGCGGCCCAACCGCGGGACUGCAUUGGGAACUACCGGGCUGGAGUGCCGGCG